CCUACGGGAGGCUGCAGUGGGGAAUAUUGGACAAUGGGGGGAACCCUGAUCCAGCGACGCCGCGUGAGUGAAGAAGUAUUUCGGUAUGUAAAGCUCUAUCAGCAGGGAAGAAAAUGACGGUACCUGACUAAGAAGCCCCGGCUAACUACGUGCCAGCAGCCGCGGUAAUACGUAGGGGGCAAGCGUUAUCCGGAUUUACUGGGUGUAAAGGGAGCGUAGACGGUUAUGUAAGUCUGGAGUGAAAGCCCGGGGCCCAACCCCGGGACUGCUUUGGAAACUGUGUAACUGGAGUACAGGAGGGGCAGGCGGAAUUCCUGGUGUAGCGGUGAAAUGCGUAGAUAUCAGGAGGAACACCGGCGGCGAAGGCGGCCUGCUGGACUGAAACUGACGUUGAGGCUCGAAAGCGUGGGUAGCAAACAGGAUUAGAUACCCCAGUAGUC
rnacentral:rRNA from 1 species